UCAGUAAAGACAAAUGGGCCAACAUAUACACUGACUCGUGCUAUGCCUUUGCCACUCUACAUGUACAUGGGGCUCUAUACAAGGAGAGAGGACCUUUGACCACAGGAGGAAAACAAAAAAGAAUCAGGAAGAAAUCCUAAAGCUAUUAAUGGCAGUCUGGGAACUGAAAUCAUCUUUAAGAAGAUAGCAGAUGAUAAGCCGCCUACAGCCAACACCUGAGAACUCUCCAUAACCAGAAGCUUGAGGAAAUCACCAAGCAAUUUAAAUGAACUAUAACAAAUCA